UGGGGNUGCUACCAUGCAGUCGAACGGACCACUUCGGUGGUUAGUGGCGCACGGNUGAGUACACGUGGUUGACCUACCCCAAAGUAAGUGAUAACGGUCCGAAAGGACUGCUAAUACCUUAUAAGCUCCCGGUGUUUAGAAAACUGGGAGAAAAGUUCCGGCGCUUUGGGCGGGGACUGCGGACCAUCAGCUAGUUGGUGUGGUAACGGCACACCAAGGCGACGACGGAUAGGGGACCUGAGAGGGUGGCCCCCCACACUGGAACUGAGACACGGUCCAGACUCCUACGGGAGGCAGCAGUGAGGAAUAUUGCACAAUGGGCGCAAGCCUGAUGCAGCGACGCCGCGUGGGUGAUGAAGGUUUUCGGAUCGUAAAGCCCUUUUCUAGAUGACGAGUAAGGACGGUAGUCUAGGAAUAAGUGUCGGCUAACUACGUGCCAGCAGCCGCGGUAAACGUAGGACACAAGCGUUAUCCGGAGUUACUGGGCGUAAAGGGCGUGUAGGCGGACCUGUAAGUCUAUUCUGAAGCUCCUGGCUAAACUGGGAGAGGCGAAUGGAGACUGCAGAUCUAGAGUGAGGAAGAGGAAAGUGGAAUUCCGCGUGUAGUGGUGAAUGCGUAAAGAUGCGGAGGAACACCAGUGGCGAAAGCGACUUUCUGGUCCUNACUGACGCUGAGNCG
rnacentral:rRNA from 1 species